rnacentral:rRNA from 1 species
AACGAACGCUGGCGGCAUGCCUAACACAUGCAAGUCGAACGAGACCUUCGGGUCUAGUGGCGCACGGGUGCGUAACGCGUGGGAACCUGCCCUUAGGUUCGGAAUAACUCCCCGAAAGGGGUGCUAAUACCGGAUAAUGUCUUCGGACCAAAGAUUUAUCGCCUUUGGAUGGGCCCGCGUUGGAUUAGCUAGUUGGUAGGGUAAAAGCCUACCAAGGCGACGAUCCAUAGCUGGUCUGAGAGGAUGAUCAGCCACACUGGGACUGAGACACGGCCCAGACUCCUACGGGAGGCAGCAGUGGGGAAUAUUGGACACUGGGCGAAAGCCUGAUCCAGCAAUGCCGCGUGAGUGAUGAAGGCCUUAGGGUUGUAAAGCUCUUUUACCCGGGAUGAUAAUGACAGUACCGGGAGAAUAAGCGCCGGCUAACUCCGUG